CAUCUUCUAUGAUAUUUUCUCUGAAACCAAAGUUUAAAUUAUUCUAAGUCCUGCUGAGUUAGUUUUUUCUUUUUUCUUUUUUUUUCAGGUUGAUAGUCAGUUACUGGGUACAGUGUUCCCUGUUGUCUUUCACCCUGUGGCCCCUCCAAAAUCUAUUGCUUUGGAUUCAGAGCCCAAACCUUUCAUUGAUGUCAGUGUCAUCACAAGAUUUAAUGAGUACAGCAAAGUCUUACAGUUCAAGUAUUUUAUGGUCCUCAUUCAGGAAAUGGCCUUAAAAGUUGAUCAGGGGUUUUUAGGAGUUAUUGCUGCACUGUUUCCUCCAACAACUGACCCUGAAGCCAAAAGAAGACGGACAGAGUUAAUUCAGGAAGAUUCUGCUGCUCUAAACACAGAAUUAGUGGAGCCCUCGGUGACUGAUAAUUCUGUUCUUAGUUUCUUCAAACUUUUCCAU